AGCAAAUAGAUGGCGCUUUAAUUGAACGGGUUGUUGUUGCUGUCACCGGUGAUCGUCUGGGUUUGCUUCUGUUGUUCUGCUGGUGUUGUUGCUGACAUUUGCCAUCACUUCAAAAUACUAUGAUGAAGUGAAUAAUGUGAAUGUGAAGCACAAUGGAGAAAGAAUUUGUGGUCCUGUAUACGCAACAGAAGCAAAAGAAAGCUAAGACCUGGCAUGACGGAACCCUCUUGCUCUCAGGAAAUGGAACUAAGGCAACAUUGCUGGACAGUAAGGGCUGUAGACUGGACACUGUACAUGUGAGGUUGGAGGACGUGCUACCAGGGGAACAGUUGGAGAGUGACCGCUAUUACAUACAGAUUGAAGACCUGAAAAGUACUACAAAGGAACAUAAUGCUUCUGCAUGUGUUGUUCCAAAGGAAUCAAGGGAUAAUAAUGUGCAAGUCAAACCAAUGUCCAAGUCAAGAUGUGCUGGUCUCAAAAGGAAAAUGCCAGGUUUUAUGCCUCCAAGACUGACUAUGCAGCCCAGUAUUCCAACCAGUUUAAUGGUUGCAAACCAGUUGGUCAAUAACCAGUCUGGUUCGCCCAUGCAGAAAACUGUUAAUCCCAUCAUCAAGCAAUGGGGUUGUACCAAUAUGAAUUUACCAGCACCCCUCGAUAGAGUCAACAGAAAUGUUAUUAAUUUGUAUACAAGUUUUGGCAAAGACGAUGAGAGUCCAAGUCAAGAAUCUAAAACAAACUCUCCUACUGGACUGGUUCUUUCGCCUUGGUCUGUGUAUGGAUCAAAGAAAAGUAGUCCAAUAGUGCAAAAUCUAUAUCAUCCAGAAAUGCUUGGUAAAGAGCAAUCUGCUGGAUAUAAUGGUUUUACUCAUGAAUUCAAAGACAAUUUGAAUGAUAUAGGAUCUAUUAGAGAAUCAGUUUCAAGGCGGUCUGUCUCAUCAAAGUAUAAUACUGACUCUCAACUUGAAUUUGUUUCUGAAAAUAUGAAGACUGACCCGAAUGAAAACUAUACAGACAUUUCCAAAAGAGACUCAGAAUGGAAAUCUUGUUAUGUAGAGGUUGCUAAAAGCAGCUUUAUAGACUCUAAGCCAGUGAAACGUAAUGUUAAAGAUAUCAUGAAAUUAUUGAGCAACAAGACAAAUCAAGUUUGUGUGAAAAUGAAAUUAGAACCACAGCCAGAAUGUGCUAAUGAAGAGUGUAAUUCUUAUAAGCAAGAUAAUUGUACUUUAACAAAUAACAGUGGAUUUAUAGUUUACGAAAACAAUACUGAAACCUUUUGUUUAGGAAUGAAAGGUGUGGAUCAGAUAUUUAAAGAACAUGGCGUAAAACAGGCACAAAAAGAGUUUGAUUAUUUCCAUGAUGAAGUAAUAAUUGAUGCAUUUAAUGGGAGUGAAAUGUCUACUGAUCACAGUUGUCUGAAAGUUAAUAAUUCAUCAAAAGCACCAUGUUCAAAUUCAGGAACUGGUGUAGAAGAGAAAGAACAAUCUUAUAGGAACUGUGUAAACCUUGGUUUGGAAGAUAAAGAUUUGGAGAUGAGUACCCAUAUUGUUGGACAAUUUGAUAUAAACUUUUCGCCUCUCUCAGAGACUUGCAAUAGUGAUGACGAACAUUCAGACAGUGUUGAAGAAACAUUCAAUGACAGAACUGAGAUUGUUCAAAAUUCUUUCAAUCCUGAAACCACACCUUGUUCACAAAUUUAUUCACAGCCUUUUCUGACUGGCAUUGUGUUAAAAAGUAAAGACAGGAGUUUGCACAAUCUUGAAACAUUGAGUCAAGACUGUAAAACAGAAGACAACAUUGCCAGUGAUUUAAAUAGUAAAGAAGGUUAUUGUCAGUUUUCAGAUAAUGAUGGUUGUUUUUAUAUAAAAACAAAUGCAAUUUGUGGUACAAAAAGUACGAGUGUAGAUGACAUAUGGACAUGUGAAACUGAUUUACCUUCUCAUGGUUCUCAAAGGCCCAUAAUUACAAAAUAUGAUGAAAAAGAGACGAAGAAUUCAGAAAUUAACAAGAUGUAUGAAUCAAAACUUGAGGGUUGUGUGGACACUAAAAAAUUGGAGAAUCAACACAAUGCAAGUGUCAGUGAAAAUGGUGCUGAAAAGAGUAAUUCCAAAGUAAUGUCUCAGAGUCAAGACACCAUGGAAUUUAGCUGUGACACACUGGAAAAUGAAAGUCAGUGGAGGUCAAGUCUUGAAAAUGUUGAACAUUCAAAUACCAAGGAUAAUGACAGCACUGAAGCAGCUGCCUCUGCCCAACAUAAGAGGAAAACACAUACCAAGAUUGAAACACCGUUAGGGAAUCCAGCUGACAUCAGUGGCAGUCUUGAUGAGGUUUCUGAACAAUUUCCACAAAUUCCUUUCCCUAAACACCUGUCUGCUAAAGACUUGGUAGCCAAACCAUUGGAUUAUACUCAAAUGUCUGAUCAUAAUAGAAAGCUCCAAACCAUUGCGUGUGCAAGGCCGCAUACCAUCCACAGUAGAUCCCUGUUUGAUUUAACGGAGAAAACCAUACACCAAUUAUCUCCUGUGCCCCACCCACAUGAGCUUUUCAAACGAAACCGGGUACCAAGAAGCCUGAAUGUCAACCUUAUCAGCAGCCAGUCAGCCAGGGUAUCAGGGCAGACAGCUUGUGCUGAAGCAAGGGCAGCAACUGUGGCUGCUCAUGUUCAACCUGCAAAGGCACACUACUUCUCAGUUGUAGAUGAUGAAAGGCUGCAGUUGUUGAAGGCUGAGCACUCUGCGGGUGAUUUCAGAUUAAGUUUAGAGCCAGAAAAGACCUUUCAACAAAGUGAUCCAAAGGUGUCCCCAUUUCAGAGACUUUCAGAUUCAGAUGACCUCCUCCAGUCACCGCAGUUUUAUUUUGAAUAUGGCAGUGUGAAACCUGAGAUGCGGGCACCAAGUGACAACUUGAAUACUGACCAUGACGAUGCACUGAGGGUCCCCUGUGUGACCUUGUCUGACCUUCCAAUGUCACCUGCAUCCACUUCACAACAAACAGAUGAAGAAAUCUUUGAGGAGUUGUACAAGCCCAGGAUGAUGUAUAAUAGAAUUGAACACUGGAACAAUUUAAUGACACCCUCUACGAAUCUUCGCCCUAUUCAAUUGUCUGAACAAGGCAUUCACACUGUGUCAGACUCUUUUACAAGUUCUUCAGCCGAGAGUGUUCAAAGAAUUAUCAAUCAUGCUUGUACUUUAGGGGAAUCAAUGCAGCCCAAUUUACUGGAAACAGUAAGUUGCCCGGACAUCAAUGUCAGUUGGCGCAAUUCAAGCUUAGAAGCCUUUAGGAGAAAAAGAAAACUUAAGAAUUCAGAGUGGUUAAUUGAUGGAAGUCAUGUUAAAGAAUUUUGUAGUGAUGAAUAUUCCUCUAAUCUGAAUCAACAUUCUUUGUCGGAGCAAUGUGACCAAAGUGUUUCCAAGCAUGGUGAUAACUGCCUUGGCAAAAGUGUUCAGAAUAAAAUUCCAACAUCAGUCACUUAUUCACCAAAUGAAGACGAGGACACAAGAAAAAUGAAAUACUGUAAACUUACACAAUUAACUGAAGGUGAGAGUAACUUUUAUUCAUCUGAUGAGGAAAGCUGUGUGUAUGAUGCAUUAGAUGUAAUAGAUCAAAUCAAUCAGCAAGAUGUUCUAGAAAAUUCAAAGUGGUGCAAAUUUGCGCAGAGUCCAAGAAGCGAUGAGUCAGAGGUAGAUCUUUCCAAAUACACUGUGAUGGAUAACAAGGCUGACUGCAAAAGAGUCUUCCAUGUUUUGGACAAACCUUGCAAUCUUUACUCAACACAAUCUGUUAAAACAUCCAACAGCAAUCAGACAAAACAGAAAUUUGAAAUAGUGAACCAGAAAUUGGAUAAUCGUGUGGCAGUUGCCAACUCUCAAUCAAGUUUUUCAUCAAUUGACUCUUUUGAAAAAAUGCUUGUUGAGAAUGAAUUUAACAUAGAAAAGCUUUCAAAUGUCAGAGAUAAUCAAAUUGUAUUAAGUGAUCAUGAUCAUGAAUUAAUACAAGAAGAACCUAAACUAAUUACAAAGGCAGAUAUUAUUUCCAAUAAAGAUUUGAACAAUGAAGAUGAACCCAGUAAUAAAACAGCUAACUCAAAUGAUUAUGACAUUUCUAUUGUGGAAGAAGAAAAAAUUGAUGCAAGAGAGAUUUUUGUCAACAAUCAGCUUUCUCAAAAUGAAGCAACUGUGACAGAAAAGUAUAAUAUGGCCGAUAACAUAACAAAAUGGGGCUUUUCAAAUGAAGGAAAUAAAAGCCAUUCAGAAACUAUGAGCAACACUCCCCUGUUGGCUAAUCUAGAUUUUGCAACUGUUGGUGAAACCAUAAAACAAUCAGUCUCUAAUAAAAGCAAUGAUAACAGCAUAUUUGAUAUAAGUGAUAGUGAAAACACUUUCUCUCAAGGAUUUGACAAUAGUGCUAAACUACUGGUUAUAGAGAAUGAGGUGAUACAAAGGGAAGAGUCUGAAACGGAAGCGCCUAUUAAACAAAAUGCAACAAUAUUCAAUUCAUCUUCAGAUCAAUCAUUUACAUUCAAAGACAUGAUUGCUAUUGCGGAUGAAACCCAUAUCACUGAAACUAAUGUAGACGAUCCAAUUGUAAAACCAGCUGGUGGAAUGCGAAUUGGGUGGAAGCCUCCUGUCAAAAAUCUGAAAAAUUCGAGUAAUGGAAAUGUAACAGAAAUAGCAAGGGCUCCUUUUAAAUGCUUACAGAUUCUUGAAAAGGCCAAACUGAAUCGAGGGGAAGAUUUUGGAAGUGCUUUAAAUAAUUAUGAAGUCUCUGUGAAAAAUAGUGCUUUUGAUGAACUUAAUAAUAAACCAGACUCUGUGUCAAGAAUAAUUGAAAUGAAGCAGACCAAUCAGUAUUUGUCAAAAGGGAGAGAUGCCUCACUAUGUUUAUCAGUGACUUUGAGAGAGUCUAAUGUCAAUAGAAGGUUUAAGCCCCCAACAAAAUCAGUCAGCCCGACAACUGUAGGUUCUGUGAAGGAACAAGCCAUUCUGCCAUCACAUUCAAGGUGCACCCAAACAGGGAACCAACAGAGUGUAAUAUGUGGAGAGCUGUGUUUCCCAGCACGGUCAGUGGUGGAGAGUGGUCAGCCAGUGGUGAGGGUGGUCAGUAUUCCAGCUACAUUCCCAAGUGUGGCUGCAUACAAACAGACCCUCUCACAGGCUCUCACAGAGUACUUGAACACACAGCUGUUUAACGUGGCACAUCGCUAUCACAAGGCCCUGUCACAGAUGGACAUUACACGCUGUGCAGGCUCUAACAUGAAGAGCCCGAUGUCAGGAGCUGCAAAGUCAUCCCACCCAUCAUGUCAGUGUGGAAUGCCUUCCAAGAUGGUGCUGGUGAAGAAGGUGGGACCUAAUCAGGGACGGGCAUUCUACGCAUGUAGUGCAGAUAGGAAUCAGCAAUGCAAAUUUUUUAAGUGGGCAGAUGAGAAUACAGGACCCCAGUCUGGGUCAUCUUGCAUGAAGCGCCAAGUGGACAGCAUUGAGACCUUAAACCUGCAGAUGAGGGCCCUGCAUAUCCAAUUCUAUGGGGACUGUGUGCUGGUCAGACGGGCCAAGGAAGACAUCAGUCGAUAUAUCAAGGCUCCGAAGUGGGUUCAGGCUAAAAUGAACCCUGAAGCAAGUCCCACCAAACAGAUGUUGUUGAGGCUUCCAUACAAAGGCCACUCAUCUCUCUAUGCUAAAGAUGACGUAUGGGUGAUCUCUCGGGAGCUGACGUUUGACCCGGGCUGUACAUUCCUUGCCAGGAGCACCUUCCAUGGCCCCUCUUCCUCCCUGGAAGUGGAACUUGAGCCAAUCACAGGUCACUCCCCGUCUAACUGGACCAAUGGCACUGUGUGCCAUACACUGCUAGCAGGCAAUGCCUCCUCAGAACUGAGUUGCCUUGACAAUGUGAGAGAGCACCUGCAGUCACAGUCACCACCAAUAGUGCCUCAGCUAUUGAACAGGUUUGUUUGCAGUCAGUCCACAGGCAGUACAGUGCCAGGGUUCCAGGCACCAAGGAAUGUACAGAACCCACUGCAGGGAUGGCUGUCCUCGGAACAAAUGGACUAUAUGGCUGAGGACUACAUCAAGCGCUACUCCCUGAAUGUGGAUCAGACUGAGGCUCUGCGCAGAGUGGCAGCCAUCUUCACAAGAGAGAAAACUCACAAAGUGGACAGUGUGCUACUGAUUCAUGGAGUGUUUGGUGCUGGCAAAAGUUAUCUGCUCUCAGUGGCAGUACUCUUCUUGAUGGAGGUGUUUUCCAAAAUGGCUGCCACGUCAUUCCAGCAACCGUCACCAUGGAAACUGCUCAUCUCCUCCACUACCAAUGUUGCAGUGGACAGAAUAUUGAUGGGGCUACUAGAUUUGGGUUUUGAAGAUUUUGUACGUGUUGGCAGUGUGAAGAAGAUAGCUAAGCCAGUGCUUCCAUACAGUGUGCAUGCAUCAGGAACAGAGAGCCAAGAGCUGAAGGACCUGCAGGAAAUGUUGAGGUGCCCUGAUCUCACUGCCACUGAGAAGAGUCACAUCCGCAAAGGGAUUGAAAAACAUCGUAAGGGAGAAAACAAGAAGAAACUGGGAAGAGUACAAGUAGUUGGGGCCACAUGCGCAUCUUGCUCCCUCACCACCUUACAGAACAUGCAGUUUCCUUUGGUGCUGUUGGACGAGUGCAGCCAGAUGACAGAGCCUGCCUCCCUGCUGCCUGUUGCCAGGUACCAGUGCCAGAAACUGAUCCUCGUUGGAGACCCCAAGCAACUCGACCCGACUAUCGAAGGUGCAGACAGUGUCCAUGCCAAUGGCCUUGAGCAGACCCUAUUUGAUAGGCUAAUACUCAUGGGUCAUAUACCAACAUUAUUGCGUACCCAGUACCGAUGUCACCCCCACAUUAGUGCCAUCGCUAACAGUCUGUUCUAUGGAGGCAUGCUGACUGAUGGAGUCACUGAGACUGACAGAAAACCAUUGCUGCCGUUCCUGCCAACCCUGUGCUACUAUGACGUAUCUCGCGGUACAGAGACCAGUGAGGGUGCGGGGAGUUUUUAUAAUGAGGCCGAGGCAGGCUUCGUCGUUUUUCUGCUGCAGACAUUUGUGCUAUGUGGUCUGGGGACGGAACGUUUGGGCGUCAUAACGCUGUACCGCGGGCAGGUGACCAGAAUCAAUGAUCUCCUUUCAAGGGGCGUGAUCGAGGUGAAGUCUGAGGGGAGGAAAAUUCUGUAAACUGAUUUUGACUAUGCGGAUCGCAUGCAUAAUGCAAUGACAAACCUUAAAACAGACAUGAAAAAAACACCAUCUUUAACUUAUUAACAAGAUUUAUGUAUGAAAACGUAUUUAAAUUCACAUAUAACAAAUUAUGCAAAGUCACCAGUAUUAAUUGUGAUCAAAAUCAAUAUCUGUUCCGAUCCCUGUGAAAGAUGACACCAAUCCUUUUUUGGGGCUCAAUGUCUUUAAAUUCUAGGUAAGGCCAACAAUGUAACAGUUUUCCACUAACAACAAUUAAUUUACCACGGGAUCUGUAGUUCAAGACUUUGUCAUAUCCUGACACAUACUUCAGCCUUACCAAGACAGUCGAUCUUCUGUACUGAUUAAGAAAGUGGUAUCAAUUUCUAAUUUAUAUCCACUGAUGUUUCUUCCCUUUCCCAUUGAAAUUUGUAUUUCAAUAAUUUUCAAUCUCAGAGAUUCGUUCAAUAAUCUUAAUUUUCGCUUCACAAAGGCGCCAUUUGCAAACAAAUCAGCAAAAAAAAGAAACACAUUUCAAAACACUGAUUUUAAUUGGAAGAUUGGGAAACAACAGCCAAUCUCAUCGCUUGUUUAAAAAAAAUGCUUAGGCAGAAUCUACCAGUGUAAUCUGUUGAGAGGUUUUGCGGGCCGCAGAUUUUUUGGGCCGCUUAUCAAAUACACCUGAAUAAUUGUUCUUACCCUUCCCCCAUUUUUUAAAAAUUUACUUGAAUCGCAAAAUGACCGCCGUACAUACCGUUCCGGGGAUCCAGGGAAAAAUCACACCCCUGAAAAAUGUAGCUGACAAAGCAGUGUGGGGGUAUUACUGGCGUGUGGGACACGGCUCAAGUUAUUAAGUUGAGAAUUUUCAUGUGGUGAGAAUGUAUAUGGUAAGGACAGACAACUAUACAAGCCUGCAAUGUAACUGUUUCAUGAGCAGUGGUGGUGGAGAUUCCAAGGGAGUUCAGGUGUCCACAGUGGACGCGUUCCAGGGUGGAGAGAGGGACAUCAUUAUCCUCUCUACAGUACGCACCAAGGGCAUGGGAUUCAUAGACAAUGACAAGAGGAUGAAUGUUGCGCUAACCCGGG